UACGUAGGGGGCAAGCGUUGUCCGGAUUUAUUGGGCGUAAAGAGCGUGUAGGCGGCUAGGUAGGUCCGUUGUGAAAACUCGAGGCUCAACCUCGAGACGCCGAUGGAAACCAUCUGGCUAGAGUCCGGAAGAGGAGAGUGGAAUUCCCAGUGUAGAGGUGAAAUUCGUAGAUAUUGGGAAGAACACCGGUGGCGAAGGCGGCUCUCUGGACCGAGACUGACGCUGAGGCGCGAAAGCGUGGGGAGCAAACAGG
rnacentral:rRNA from 1 species